UACGGAAGGCAGCAGUGGGGAAUAUUGCACAAUGGGCGAAAGCCUGAUGCAGCUAUGCCGCGUGUAUGAAGAAGGCCUUAGGGUUGUAAAGUACUUUCAUCGGGGAGGAAAAACAAAACUAAUAAUUUUAUUUCUUGACGUUACCCGAAAAAGAAGCACCGGCUAACUCCGUGCCAGCAGCCGCGGUAAUACGGAGGGUGCUAGCGUUAAUCAGAAUUACUGGGCGUAAAGAGCACGUAGGUGGUUUUUUUAAGUCAGAUGUGAAAUCCCUGGGCUUAACCUGGAACUGCAUUUUGAAACUGAAAUACUAGAGUAUCGUAGAGGGAGGUAGAAUUCUAGGUGUAGCAGUGAAAUGCGUAGAUAUCUGGAGGAAUACCUGUGGCGAAAGCGGCCUCCUAAACGAAUACUGACACUGAGGUGCGAAAGCGUGGGGAGCAAACGAGGAUUAGAUACC
rnacentral:rRNA from 1 species